rnacentral:rRNA from 1 species
AGAGUUUGAUCAUGGCUCAGGAUGAACGCUAGCGGCAGGCUUAACACAUGCAAGUCGAGGGGCAGCGGGGUGUAGCAAUACACUGCCGGCGACCGGCGCACGGGUGCGUAACGCGUAUGCAACCUACCCAUAACAGGGGCAUAACACUGAAAAAUUGGUACUAAUUCCCCAUAACAUUCGAAGAGGCAUCUCUUUUGGGUUGAAAACUCCGGUAGUUAUGGAUGGGCAUGCGUUGUAUUAGCUAGUUGGG